rnacentral:tRNA from 1 species
UGCGACUUAGUUUAUUUAGAAUAAUCAAUUUGCACUUGAUUGGGGAGAGUUUUUCUCAGUAGCAG